GGUAGCGUGUCCGAGCGGCCGAAGGUGCAGCACUCGAAAUGCUGUGUGGUGAUAAGCCACCCUGGGUUCGAAUCCCAGCGCUACCG
rnacentral:tRNA from 2 species